GACGGCGCCCUCAGCUCGGCAGAACCCGCUCGCUGUGCCGCGGACCUUGUCAGAGGACACGACGCCAAGAGCUCGCAGCUAUUAGCACGGUGCCCGGACCACGCCCGGCGGCCAUUUUCCCGAGACUCAGGAACUGACAGAAGGUGUCUCUGGAAGGUCAUCAAAUGGCAAGAACUGAUCCCUGACCCUCUCUGCAGGACACCAUUAGCAACUGCAUCCUGACAAGGUUCCCUUCAUUGGGCCUUGUGACACCAGUUUCCUAUGUGUCAGCACACUGGCCUGAUGACUUCAGCAGCCCAAUCUUUCUCCGUGGCUUCAGUUUCAUCGUCUAGCAUAAUUUCCACAGAAAUCGCAACAUUUUUUGCAUACCAUGCUGCCCUGAAAUUGUUCUUUCUUGGCUGGUUAUGAAGGCUCAUACUUGUAAUUCCACUCCUUUGAGGGGACUGAGGCAGGAGGAUUGCUGUCAAUUCAAGGCCAGCUACAGUGGGUGUUCGUCUAUGAUUAUAAAGUAAAUAUGUGCAGCUGGAAAGAUGGCCCAGAGCUCUUGCAAAGAACAGGAGUUUGGUUCCCAGCAGCCACAUUGGUGGGCUCAUGGCUACCUAUAGUGCCAGAGUAUCUGACUCCCUCCCUCUUGAGGUACCCACAUCCACUUGCCCUACCCCAGCAGAGUUAAAAUAAAAAAUGUAAAGUAAAUAAGAUGACUAUGUCCUCGUUACAGAGAAUUUGGCAAAUACAUAAAAAUUGGAAGUGUCAGCUUCCCUUCCUUUACUCCUGAAUUCUCUGGCUUCCUACUCAGAGAUGUGAAACAUAAGCUCAACUGAUCAACUCUAAAUGGUGCUGAAAGAAGAGAGUGGUGUUGAAGAUUGUGAUUGUUCUUGUCAUGACUGAUCAUUAACUGUCAGCUGUACCCAGACUCACCCAAGAGACAAAUCUCUGAGGGUGUCUAUGAGGAAGCUCCUAGAUUGGGCUAACUGAGCUGGGAAGCUCCGCCCCAGACAUGGGGAUACAGGAGGAAACCAAGGUAAUAUAUACCCUUGGAGGAAGAUUACCCACUUCCUCCAAGUAGGCCCCACCUCCUACUUCCAUGACACCCCCAUUCAAUAAUACUACUUACAGGAGGGGUGUGCGGGACCCCAAAGUAGCCGCACCACUCAUGAGUCUCACCCUAGCUUGGAUGAUGACUUCCCCUUAGCUGCAGACAAAGUCCCUGGCUUCUGUUAACGGUCCACAUUCUGUAAACUCCACCACCUCCCAAGACCACAAGAGGACACGCAUCUGGAACAGAGCAACAUUCACCUGGCAGGGGUUAUGGGAGGGAAUGGCUGAUAACUCUUGACUCCUUUCUACGAGAGCUCAGCAGGCCUGAUCUCGAGGCUCCCUUACAGGUCACAGCUGCCCUGAUGAAGAUGGUAAAGGCUGUUAUACUCAGAGGAUAGUGCUCUACACUCGGGCAAACAGAACUGUAGUGAGCAUGUAGUGCCAUAUAAAAAUUCUACGUGAGGGGCUGGGGAGAUGGCUCAGAGGUUAAGAGCACUGGCUGCUCUUCCAAAGAUCCUGAAUUCAAUUCCCAGAAACCACACGGUGGCUCACAACCAUCUAUAAUAAGAUCUGGUGCCCUCUUCGAGAAUGCAGGCACAAAAUGCAGGCAGAUCAACUGUGUAAAAGAUAGAUAGAUAGAUAGAUAGAUAGAUAGAUAGAUAGAUAGAGAUAGAGAUAGAUAGAUAGAUAGAGAUAGAUAGAUAGAUAGAGACAGAUAGAGAUAGAUAGAUAGAUAGAUAGAUAGAUAGAUAGAUAGAUAGAUCUAAAUAGAUAGCUAUUUUAAAAUUUCUAUGUGGGAGCCAAGGUAGCAAGUUGGCAUUGAUUCUUCAGCCAUUCACAGGGAGUUUUCACCAGGGUACUGCGUUAGAAACCCAAAGCACUAAGCAUGUGGUAUAUGGCUCACAGGGCCAAACUCCUGAUAGGACCGAAUGUCAGGAGCCUGUACAUGCUGUCCCCUCGCUUCUCAGUUCUCCUCACUGACUCAGAAAGUCAGGUGGUGGCCACCCAGCAGUUAGUUUCCUUGUAUGGGACAUAUCCUGAAUUUUCCCACCAUCUACUUUAUCAUUCUGUACAAGAGUGAACAAAAGUCUGAACUCACUCUCUGUCAAAGUCCUGAUGAUCUACCAAAGGAAAUUACUCUCAUGAAAUUGUGUCCAGCAACACUAGAGGCAGACAGGACAUAUUUCCCCUCCCCUCCCGCUUUCCAGUCCACAGACCAACUUCCUGUUUCUACGAGUUAAGAGGAGAGUUCAGUGAGCACGUGGUUUAAUCUGAUAUCAUUCCAUCCAAUAUUUCUUUUCUCCUCACUGUUGUCACUUUAAGUAAACACAAAUAAAAAAGAGGAAUGUGUUCUUUAAAA